GGGUACCUCAAUUGGUUAGAGCAUGGUGUUAGUGGCACCAAGGUUGCAGGUUCGAUCCCUGUAUGGGACA